rnacentral:tmRNA from 1 species
GGGGACGUAAAGGUUUCGACGGGGAUUUUGCAGUACGAUAAGCGGGUAGAGCCGGAGAAUCUCUGAAAAAGCUCCAACCUUAAACCAAACGCUAACGACGAAUUAGCACUGGCCGCCUAAGUGCGGUCUGUCCGCCGGGGGAUCGCUGCGACCCUCGGAUGUCCCGUCUCGGGAAGUACCCCCUUUGGUACUGGCAUCAUGUAGCAGCGUCCGUGAACGGUGAGUUCGCAUUUGUAACCGUCAUGCACUAAAUUGCUACUGACCGCGGAAGCCUGACGACCGGCGUCUGCGGCAGGAAACACAAAAGACCGUCUGCACCCGGAGAAAGUCGUAUGAAUAGGUUUUCGGACAGGGGUUCGACUCCCCUCGUCUCCAUC